UACCCCCGCUGAGAAUAGCAUAUCAGUAAGCGGAGGAAAAGAAACUAACCAGGAUUCUCCUAGUAACGGCGAGUGAACGGAGAUUAGCCCAUCACCGAAGCCCGGUGUUUUUGCAUGCAGGGCAAUGUGGUGUUGAAGCAUAUACCUGGGGUCAUGUGCCUGCCCGAAGUCCAAUUCCGAUUGUGGCUUUGGAUGUGUGCCAUUGCGGGUGAAAGUCCCGUACGGGUAGGCUGUUGUUUUAAAUGCAUGGUCCUCAGAUGUGUGUGCUUUCGAGUCGGAUUGCUUGAGAAUGCAGUCCAAAGAGGGUGGUAAACUCCAUCCAAGGCUAAAUACUGGUACGAGUCCGAUAGUAAACAAGUACCGUGAGGGAAAGUUGAAAAGUACUCUGAAGAGAGAGUAAAUAGUACGUGAAACCGAUUGCAGGGAAGCUGGUGGAGUCAAGCUUCAUGCUGGAAGAUUUGUCAUCGGGAUUUGUGUUGUGUUUGGACACUGGAUCGGUCAAUUUGGAAACAAUUGGGUGACUUCGGUUGCUCCAAGACGUUCCGGGUUGUACGUUUGGGCUGGUUUCGGUGUUCAGAUUUCGGUGAUUAAUUCUUCAUGGCAUAGAUCACGGUCGAUGGUGAUAUGUUGUGUGAUUGUCUAACUGUGCUUCGGUGGGUGCAAACUUGUCGGGUGCAGUAUGGUAGGUGUCGAGCCUGGCCUCGUGCCACGGUUGUGAUUAUAAAUGGUUUCGACCAACUGACAGUCACGUUCAAUGUUGUCGCUAUCGUUCUUGAAUGGUGCGCAAUCUGACAAUUGUGCGCUAGUGAGAACCGUGGUUCUGAGGUAGAUUUCCAUCCGACCCGUCUUGAACCACGGACCAAA
rnacentral:rRNA from 1 species